rnacentral:misc_RNA from 1 species
GGUAUGUCCUUCUAGCAAACAUGUGUGCCGCUUUGCAUGAGGGUGAGGGUGGAGUAAAUAAAAGUAAAGAGAGGCUAGUAAUUAUUUUAUCCAUGCUUGAUAAGAGGUGGAGUUAAUAAAGGGUAAGGGUAAGUAAGGUAAGGGUAAGUAAGGUAAGCCCUACCCUCUCUUACCCCUUAAAUUUUAAUUUUUCUUACACUUCAAUUUAAAGGUGUAAAG